UCGCCAGCUGCUCUAUGGUACACAACGCAAGGCUUAUCAACGAGUGGUCAAUAUAAAAGUCUCAUCUAUAAUUUGUAGACUCCUUGUCCUAAUGUUGAUGGUUGCCGCCGUCACACCAGCUGGUCUGUUGAAUCGUCUUUGGCUGAGGCAACAACGCUACCGAAAACUUGCUCGAGCUCGCAGCUCUAGUGGAUACCGUGUCCAACGGCCUGGACGUGAACUCGGCUAGCAUAUUUUACACUGACUCUACCUACGGAAACAUGCUUGGAAACAGAUACAACUCAUGGGAUUCCGUUUAAGAUAAAUAAUACUGACGAUAGCGCAUAUAUUUUUCAAUUUCACAGACAUUUGAUAAGCAAUAUAUU